rnacentral:tRNA from 1 species
GGCGGCGUAGCUCAGAUGGUUAGAGCGAGGGAUUCAUAACCCCUAGGUCUCCGGUUCGAGUCCGGACGCCGCCA